AGAGUUUGAUCAUGGCUCAGAAUCAACGCUGGCGGCGUGCCUAACACAUGCAAGUCGAACGCGAAAGCCCCGCAAGGGGUAAGUAGAGUGGCAAACGGGUGAGUAACACGUGGGUGACCUGCCUUCGAGUGGGGGAUAACGUCCCGAAAGGGACGCUAAUACCGCAUGACAUCCUGCUUUUGGAAAAGCGGAGAUCAAAGCUGGGGAUCGCAAGACCUGGCGCUUGAAGAGGGGCCCGCGCCUGAUUAGCUAGUUGGUAGGGUAACGGCCUACCAAGGCAACGAUCAGUAUCCGGCCUGAGAGGGCGGACGGACACACUGGGACUGAGACACGGCCCAGACUCCUACGGGAGGCAGCAGUGGGGAAUUGUUCGCAAUGGGCGCAAGCCUGACGACGCAACGCCGCGUGGAGGACGAAGAUCUUCGGGUCGUAAACUCCUGUCGAGUGGGAAGAAUGCUUCGGGGGUGAAUAACCUCCGGAAUUGACGGUACCACUAAAGGAAGCCCCGGCUAACUCCGUGCCAGCCGCCGCGGUAAUAC
rnacentral:rRNA from 1 species